UUCAUAUAGACAGCAGGACGGUGGCCAUGGAAGUCGGAAUCCGCUAAGGAGUGUGUAACAACUCACCUGCCGAAUGAAUUAGCCCUGAAAAUGGAUGGCGCUGAAGCGGGAUGCCGAUACUCAGCCAUCAAAGCAAAUGCGAAGCUUUGAUGUGUAAGAGGGCGUGAGCACGGUGCAGAAGCCUUUGGCGUGAGCCUGGGUUGAACUGUGUUUAGUGCAGAUCUUGGUGUUAGUAGCAAAUAUUCAAAUGAGAACUUUGAAGACCGAAGUGGAGAAGGGUUCCAUGAGAACAGCACUUGGUCAUGGGUUAUCCGAUCCUAAGGCAUAGGGAAAUUCCUUGUAAUACAAGAGCAAUUUGCUCGUUGCCGAAAGGGAAUGAGGUUAAUAUUCCUCAGACUGGACGUGGAUAAUGUAUGGUAACAUAAGUGAGCCCGGAGACAUCGGUAUGAACUCCUGGAAGAGUUAUCUUUUCUUUUUAACAAUCUAUCGCCCUGAAAUGGGAUUAUCCCGAGCUAGGGCUUUAUGGUUGGCAGAGCAUUGCACUCUAUGCAAUGUCAGGUGCGUUCAUAACGAUCCUUGAAAAUCCGGGUAAGAGAUUUAUUCGCACGCCAGGUCGUACCAAUAACCGCAUCAGGUCUCCAAGGUUAGCAGCCUCUGGUCAAUAGGAUAAUGCAGAUAAGGGAAUUCGGCAAAUUAGAUCCGUAACUUCGGGAAAAGGAUUGGCUCUGAGGAUUGGGUUCAAGGGCCCUUUCAUGAACGCUAAGAAGUCCAGUUAGUGUGGAGGCAACGAAGCGCUUCUAGACUUCGAACGCUGGAUUGUUUGGGACGCUUCAUCGGCUUUCCUUGAACGUUUAACAAUUAACUCAGAACUGAAGCGGACAAGGGGAAUCCGACUGUUUAAUAAAAACAUAGCAUUGUGAUGGCCUGAAAAGGUGUUGACACAAUGUGAAUUCUGCCCAGUGCUUUGAAUGUCAAAGUGAAGUAAUUCAACCAAGCGCAGGUAAACGGCGGGAGUAACUAUG
rnacentral:rRNA from 1 species